UACAGAGGGUGCAAGCGUUAAUCGGAAUUACUGGGCGUAAAGCGUGCGUAGACGGUUAGAUAAGUCGGGUGUGAAAGCCCCGGGCUCAACCUGGGAAUUGCAUUCGAGACUGCUUAGCUAGGGUACGGAAGAGGGAAGCGGAAUUUCAGGUGUAGCGGUGAAAUGCGUAGAUAUCUGAAGGAACACCAGUGGCGAAAGCGGCUUCCUGGUCCAGUACCGACGUUCAGGCACGAAAGCGUGGGGAGCAAACAGG
rnacentral:rRNA from 1 species